AGUGCCUGCACUCCUCCACCUGCAGGUUUUCAUUGACCGGUUUCGCUACAAUGCCAACAGGGCCUCUCAAGUGCAGAGUAAACUCAAGAUGCUGGAGAAGCUGUGAGUACAGCAUCCUUGGCCAGGGCCUGACUCCUGUUCUCUUCAUCUCCUUCGUCAUUUGCAGGCUACCCUUGCCCUACCAUUCUAGGUCUCCCCUUCGCUAGAAGCCAACUGUGACUUCCUCCUCUGCUGGGAAGCAGAGUAUUCCACACUGUUCUUGGAGGGCUAAUCUUGACUAGCACAUGGCAACCACUAAUUUACUUUCUGUUUCUGCUUCUGUGUAUCUGCUUAUUCUGGGCGUUUCAUAUAAAUGGAAUCAUACAACAUGUGACCUUCGUGCCUGGCGUCUUUCACCUGGCAUCAUGUGUGAGGCUCAUCCAUGUUGUAGCGCGCGUCAGAGCUUCAUUUCUUUUCGUGGCUGGAUAAUAUUCUAUUGGGUGGAUAUACAGCAUUUUGUUUAUUGAGUCAUGAGGGACCAUUUGGGUUGUUUCCAUUUUGGUUAUUAUGAAUAAUGUUGGUGUGAACAUUGGUGUACAAAUUUUUGUGUGGACAUAUGUUUUCAGCUUGCUUGGGUGCAUACCUAGGCGCAGAAUUGCUGGGUUACCUGGUAAUUCCAAAUUAAUGUUUUGAGGAACUGUCAAACUGUUUUCUAAAGCAACAACAUCAUUUUACAUUCCUACCAACAAGGAAUGAAAGUUCCAAUUUCUCCAUGUCUUUGGCAACACUGUUAUUGACUAUUUUUUUUUUUUAGUUUUAGCCAUCCUAGUGGCUGUGAAGUGAUAGCUCAUUGUGGUUUUGAUUUGCAUUUCCUUAAUAACUAAUGAUAAUGUGUAUUGGGAGUUUAAUUUUGAAGUGCCCUUUCUAUAAGUGCUGGCAGGAAGCUUAAAAUCAUAAAGCUUAGAUGUUCGUGACAUGGAAACAUAUCACGAUAUAGUAACUGGGGAUAAAAAGUCACAAAAAGCCUAAUUCUAUUUUUUAGCCUACAGUAAACGAGAAGAAUGGACUCUAAAGUAAUGAUACCUGAGUGGUAGGAGUACAAGCCCUUUCUAAGUUUUCUCUGAACAUAUAUUACUUGUGCAGGAAGUUAUUUUUUUAAGUCAUAAAUCUAGUCUACCUCAUCUCUUCUCCCAGGCCUGAGCUGAAGCCUGUGGACAAGGAAUCAGAGGUCGUAAUGAAGUAAGUGCUGGGCCACUGGGACUGGUGGGGAAUUGCUUGCUUCCAGCUGCCCCCACAUCCUCACCCCUACCUCCUGCAGGUUCCCUGAUGGGUUUGAGAAGUUCUCGCCGCCAAUUCUGCAGCUAGAUGAGGUGGAUUUCUACUAUGAUCCGAAGCACGUCAUCUUCAGUCGCCUCUCUGUGUCUGCUGAUCUCGAGUCUCGCAUCUGUGUGGUUGGAGAGAAUGGGGCUGGGAAGUCUACCAUGCUGAAGCUGCUUUUGGGGGACCUGGCACCUGUUCGGGGCAUCAGACACGCUCACAGGUCAGGCCCACCCGCACCCCUGCCCCCAUGAGCACAUUUGCAGGCACCCAUGCUGUCUGCGCUCCUUCAUGGCCAUUGCCUUUGUCUGCUUUUCCACCUCGGUUUCUGCCUGCAGGAAUCUGAAGAUUGGCUAUUUCAGCCAGCACCAUGUGGAGCAGCUGGACCUAAACGUCAGUGCUGUGGAACUGCUGGCGCGCAAGUUUCCUGGGCGGCCUGAGGAGGAGUACCGUCACCAGCUGGGUCGGUAUGGCAUCUCCGGAGAACUGGCCAUGCGUCCUGUUGCCAGCUUGUCUGGGGGCCAGAAGAGCCGAGUGGCCUUUGCUCAGAUGACUAUGCCCUGCCCCAACUUCUACAUUCUGGAUGAACCCACAAACCACCUGGACAUGGAGACCAUCGAGGCUCUGGGCCGUGCCCUCAACAAUUUCAGGGGUGGUGUGAUUCUGGUGUCCCACGAUGAGCGCUUUAUCAGGCUGGUGUGCCGGGAGUUGUGGGUGUGCGAAGGAGGCGGCGUCACCCGCGUGGAAGGAGGAUUUGACCAGUACCGCGCCCUCCUCCAGGAACAGUUCCGCCGCGAAGGCUUCCUCUAGGGCCACCAGGCUGAGGACUCGCCCAGGACAUGGACUGGUCUCUCAGACCCCUGGGCCACCACGUAGGCCACCACUCCAGGCCGUGGACUUCCCCCAACUUGGGGACAGCCUUAUUCCCAAAUGUCUCUCUCCUUUUGACUGGAGCAUCUUCUGCACAACCUUGGGAGCCCCAUCCAAGGGUUGGUGAGGACUGGUCUCCCGGGGGCGGGGGUCUGGGGGGUACCCUCUGGGGUUAUAGAUUCCCCCACUGCCCCAGCCCUGACUGGACCCCAAGUGGCUGCUAUGUAAAUUAAAUCUCUCCCCGCGUCU
rnacentral:sRNA from 1 species